rnacentral:sRNA from 1 species
UUAAAAAUAAUUACUUAUUGAAUGAUUAGAUAAAUAAAAAUUAUAUUUAAAUUAAACAAUACAAAAAAAUCUGAAAAAACUGCGGCGUACCGCGGGUGAUCACCUAGUAUUGUAUAAUAUGGGAUACUUAACUGGUAUGAGUUGUUGUUUUUUUCACUCAAGUAAUAUUGAUAAUCAAAGUUGGGGAAGAUAACAAAUCACAAAAAAU